UCCGUAGGUGGAUCAAUCAGUCAGAGGUGAAAUCCUGCAGCUUAACUGUAGAACUGCCUUUGAUACUGUUGAUCUUGAGUCAUUAUGAAGUGGUUAGAAUGUGUAGUGUAGCGGUGAAAUGCAUAGAUAUUACACAGAAUACCGAUUGCGAAGGCAGACCACUAAUAAUGUACUGACACUGAGGGACGAAAGCGUGGGGAGCGAACAGGAUUAGAUACCCUGGUAGUCC
rnacentral:rRNA from 1 species